UACGUAGGGAGCAAGCGUUGUCCGGAAUCAUUGGGCGUAAAGCGCGCGUAGGCGGCCCGGUAAGUCCGCUGUAAAAGUCCAGGGCUCAACCCUGGAAAGCCGGUGGAUACUGUCGGGCUAGAGUCCGGAAGAGGCGAGUGGAAUUCCUGGUGUAGCGGUGGAAUGCGCAGAUAUCAGGAGGAACACCAAUUGCGAAGGCAGCUCGCUGGGACGUUACUGACGCUGAGACGCGAAAGCGUGGGGAGCAAACAGG
rnacentral:rRNA from 1 species